GAAAGUAUUGCUCAAAAGAAAGAUAUGCAGAGUGUUUUCGUCCAGCUUAUUGGGAGAUUCUGCAGACAGGUCAGACAUGUAUCUGUCCUAUUUCCUGUCAAUAUACAGCUUAUGAUACAAAAUUGUCAUUUGGGAAAUUUCCGUCUGACUUUAUGUCAAAAUCGCUUGUAAAAGUACUGAACGAGACAGAGGAACAUAUCAAAAAAAAUUACGUAAGUCUUAGAUUAUAUUAUAAAGAUUUGCAGACGACAAUCACUGAACAGAAACCUAAAUACGAAAAUGCUGGAGAUGUUUUUUCCAAUGUUGGAGGACAGAUGGGAUUAUUCCUUGGUGCUAGCAUUUUAACAGUGAUUGAGCUAUGCGAGUUUAUUCUGUUUGUCAUGUGGUACUUUUCAGUCAACCUGUUUAAGCGAAACGUAGUAGUCUACAAUGGGAAUAAAAUAUGUCUAUCAAAGCAAGAACAGAAGAAAUAAUAUUCUGUUACA